GUCGAGAAUCUUUCACAAUGGGGGCAACCCUGAUGGAGCGACGCCGCGUGGAGGAUAAGGUCUUCGGAUUGUAAACUCCUGUCAUGCGUGAACAAGGUUGCUUGGUUAAUACCUGGGCAAAUUGAUGGUAACGCAAGAGGAAGAGACGGCUAACUCUGUGCCAGCAGCCGCGGUAAUACAGAGGUCUCAAGCGUUGUUCGGAAUCACUGGGCGUAAAGGGUGCGUAGGUGGCGUGGUAAGUCAGAUGUGAAAGCCCGGGGCUCAACCUCGGAACUGCAUCAGAUACUGCCAUGCUAGAGUACUGGAGAGGUGACUAGAAUUCUCGGUGUAGCAGUGAAAUGCGUAGAUAUCGAGAGGAAUACCAAAGGCGUAGGCAGGUCACUGGACAGUUACUGACACUGAGGCACGAAGGCCAGGGGAGCGAACGGGAUUAGAUACCCUGGUAGUCC
rnacentral:rRNA from 1 species